rnacentral:rRNA from 1 species
GUGGGGAAUAUUGGACAAUGGGGGAAACCCUGAUCCAGCGACGCCGCGUGAGUGAAGAAGUAUUUCGGUAUGUAAAGCUCUAUCAGCAGGGAAGAAAAUGACGGUACCUGACUAAGAAGCCCCGGCUAACUACGUGCCAGCAGCCGCGGUAAUACGUAGGGGGCAAGCGUUAUCCGGAUUUACUGGGUGUAAAGGGAGCGUAGACGGCACUGCAAGUCUGGAGUGAAAGCCCGGGGCUCAACCCCGGGACUGCUUUGGAAACUGUGGUGCUGGAGUGCAGGAGAGGUAAGUGGAAUUCCUAGUGUAGCGGUGAAAUGCGUAGAUAUUAGGAGGAACACCAGUGGCGAAGGCGGCUUACUGGACUGUAACUGACGUUGAGGCUCGAAAGCGUGGGGAGCAAACAGGAUUAGAAACCCUGGUAGUCC